rnacentral:rRNA from 1 species
CAAGAGCGUAUGUAAAAGUUGUUGCAGUUAAAAAGCUCGUAGUUGAACCUUGGGUUUGGUUGGCCGGUCCGCUUUUUUGCGAGUACUGGAUUCAACCGAGCCUUUCCUUCUGGCUAACCAGUCGUUUCGGCGGCUGGCGAACCAGGAUUUUUACUUUGAGAAAAUUAGAGUGUUCAAAGCAGGCAUUAGCUUGAAUAUAUUAGCAUGGAAUAAUAGAAUAGGACGUUAUGGUUCUAUUUUGUUGGUUUCUAGGACCAUCGUAAUGAUUAAUAGGGACGGUCGGGGGCAUCAGUAUUCAGUUGUCAGAGGUGAAAUUCUUGGAUUUACUGAAGACUAACUACUGCGAAAGCAUUUGCCAAGGACGUUUUCAUUAAC